rnacentral:rRNA from 1 species
GUGCAUAAACACAUGCAAAAGUCGAAACGAAUGAAAGAUAUUUAGUAUUCCUUCGGGAAUGAAAAAAUAUUGGAUUAGUGGCGGACGGGUGAGUAACGCGUGAGUAACCUGCCUUACACAAGGGGGAUAGCCGUUGGAAACGACGAAUAAUACCCUAUGACAUAAAACUCUUCGCAUGAGGAGCUUAUCAAAGAUUUAUCGGUGUAAGAUGGACUCGCGUCUGAUUAGCUAGUUGGUGGGGUAACGGCCCCACCCAAGGCAACGAUCAGUAGCCGGCUUGAGAGAGUGUACGGCCACAUUGGGACUGAGACACGGCCCAGACUCCUACGGGAGGCAGCAGUGGGGAAUUUUGCACAAUGGGGGAAACCCUGAUGCAGCGACGCCGCGUGAUUUAGAAGGCCUUCGGGUUGUAAAAAUCUUUUGUAUGGGGAAGAAAAUGACAGUACCAUACGAAUAAGGACCGGCUAAUUACGUGCCAGCAGCCGCGGUAAU